CGACGCCGCGUGGAUGAUGAAGGCCUUCGGGUCGUAAAAAUCCUGUCAGAUGGGAAGAAAUGUCAUACUGUUAAUAGUGGUAUGAUUUGACGGUACCAUCAAAGGAAGCACCGGCUAACUCCGUGCCAGCCCCUGCGGUGACUGAGCGGGCUGGCAAGGCGCAUA
rnacentral:rRNA from 1 species